AACGAACGCUGGCGGCAUGCCUAACACAUGCAAGUCGAACGAGACCUUCGGGUCUAGUGGCGCACGGGUGCGUAACGCGUGGGAACCUGCCCUUAGGUUCGGAAUAACUCCCCGAAAGGGGUGCUAAUACCGGAUAAUGUCUUCGGACCAAAGAUUUAUCGCCUUUGGAUGGGCCCGCGUUGGAUUAGCUAGUUGGUAGGGUAAAAGCCUACCAAGGCGACGAUCCAUAGCUGGUCUGAGAGGAUGAUUAGCCACACUGGGACUGAGACACGGCCCAGACUCCUACGGGAGGCAGCAGUGGGGAAUAUUGGACAAUGGGCGAAAGCCUGAUCCAGCAAUGCCGCGUGAGUGAUGAAGGCCUUAGGGUUGUAAAGCUCUUUUACCCGGGAUGAUAAUGACAGUACCGGGACAAUAAGCUCCGGCUAACUCCGUG
rnacentral:rRNA from 1 species